rnacentral:rRNA from 1 species
UACGUAGGGUGCGAGCGUUGUCCGGAAUUAUUGGGCGUAAAGCGCUUGUAGGCGGUCUGUCAAGUCGCGUGUGAAAUCCCUAGGCUUAACCUAGGAAGUGCGCGCGAAACUGGCGGACUUGAGUGCCGGAGAGGGUCGCGGAAUUCCCGGUGUAGAGGUGAAAUUCGUAGAUAUCGGGAGGAACACCAGUGGCGAAGGCGGCGACCUGGACGGACACUGACGCUGAGACGCGAAAGCGUGGGGAGCAAACAGG